GCAUUGUUGACUGAAGCUCUGGACGCACCCCUAUUACUUGCUCCAACUCCUGGAUUCCUCUGUGGUCUGCCUUUAGUGGGAGCAUUUCCCGAUCUUGCACUCGGUAUUACUUCCCUUUUAACUGUUUCGGUACAAUCCCGAAUAAAAUGAUUUAGUGCACCACAUCUGAAACAAGCAUUUUCAUUUGCUCGGCACUCACCGAGAUGACGUCUACCACAUUGAGCACACUCCGGUCUAGGUGG
rnacentral:lncRNA from 1 species